AAUAUGACUCUCGGCAACGGAUAUCUCGGCUCUCGCAUCGAUGAAGAACGUAGCGAAAUGCGAUACGUGGUGUGAAUUGCAGAAUCCCGUGAACCAUCGAGUCUUUGAACGCAAGUUGCGCCCGAGGGAUCCUCCCAAGGGCANGCCUGCCUCAUGGGCGUUAGAA
rnacentral:rRNA from 1 species